rnacentral:rRNA from 1 species
GUGCCAGCAGCCGCGGUAAUACGGAGGGUGCAAGCGUUAAUCGGAAUUACUGGGCGUAAAGCGCGCGUAGGUGGCUAAGUCAGCCAGGUGUGAAAGCCCCGGGCUCAACCUGGGAACGGCAUCUGGAACUGCUUGGCUAGGGUGCAGGAGAGGAAGGUAGAAUUCCCGGUGUAGCGGUGAAAUGCGUAGAGAUCGGGAGGAAUACCAGUGGCGAAGGCGGCCUUCUGGACUGACACUGACACUGAGGUGCGAAAGCGUGGGUAGCAAACAGGAUUAGAUACCCCAGUAGUCC